AUUGAACGCUGGCGGCAGGCCUAACACAUGCAAGUCGGACGAGCGGCGGACGGGUGAGUAAUUUAUGGGGACCUGCCUGAUGGAGGGGGAUGACUACUGGAAACGGUAGCUAAUACCGCAUACCAUCAGAUGAACCCAUAUGGGUUUAGCUAGUGGGUGAGGUAACGGCUCACCUAGGCGACGAUCCCUAGCUGGUCUGAGAGGAUGAUCAGCCACACUGGGACUGAGACACGGCCCAGACUCCUACGGGAGGCAGCAGUGGGGAAUAUUGCACAAUGGGCGAAAGCCUGAUGCAGCCAUGCCGCGUGUAUGAAGAAGGCCUUCGGGUUGUAAAGUACUUUCAGUCGGGAGGCGUUACCGACAGAAGAAGCACCGGCUAACUCCGUGCCAGCAGCCGCGGUAAUUC
rnacentral:rRNA from 1 species